CGAUCUUCGCUGGUUAUCGAACACAGAUGACUCGCGAGUCAGACGCACCGUCCAUGGUGCCUAUAACCAUCGCUUUACGGUCUCGAGACUCAAUCUGGGUAUAGAUUAAGCGUCGCUUGAAAAGCGGCCGGCUUCAACGUAAAUUUCCGGUACGAUAGGCAGCAAGGAUUCAGAGUGGCAGACAUGCAAAUCGACGCGGCAGCUGACUCCUCUGCUGCUCUAGCGACUGCGUCGAAUACAAUCCUACCAUCCAACCAGCAACCCGUUCGCCCUCAGGAACCAGCUCCUGCGAGCGCCCCCAAAAAUUCUUUGCGGAUAUCGACGACGAGACCCAAUUAUGAGUACACUAGACUUAGCAGUAGCUCAAGUCAACCUGCACCAUGCUUUGGUCGCUUCUGCGGGCAAUGCUACCAGGGUUGCCACGGAGGACCGGGAAAUUCUACUAAUACAGGAGCCGUGGACCUACAGAAGCCAAGUUAGGGGCCUCAAUCACAACAGUAAUAAGUAAUUUGGAACAUCUCCUGUGAGAGGCCCAGAGCGUGUGUAGCGCUGAAUAAAAAAAUUUUAUUAUUUCUGCAGUACCGAGAUUCUUACACAGGACGCCACCAGAUACUGACAGUAAUGGUAGUCUUGGCCGCAGCCUAGUUUUCGGGGGACAACGCCAACGUGCCAUCCCUUGCAGUACAGCAGCUAAAAGAAUUUGGGGGCAGGAGACGACUCCCUGAUAUGGAGUGGGGCAGCUCGGACACAAACCGUAGUGGAAUCGGCCUCGGCGGAUUCUUUGCCCUACAACCGAUUAAUCGGCAUCGGCAUGGGCCAAAAAUUGGGAAUCGGUCGGACUCUACAUGAUAUGUUCUUUUUAACUUUCCCUGUCACAAAUCCGCAACUGUAUGAGCUAUCUUCGCACUUUCGUCGUGUACCUAUGCGUUAAAGUGGUAUUUAAUAAUUUAACUACUUUUGAAUAUAGUGGGUAGCCCAGAAGUAUCACACCAGAACGACCUAGAUUCAUAUCUGGCCAAGGACUGUCACUCCAGCAUUGUGCCCCAAAAACUCUUUGGGGAAUUGUUAUGCUGUUACAACAACCAAAUGAAAUAAAUCGCCUUAUUAUUGUAAUCACAA